AGAGCGAACGCUGGCGGCAGGCCUAAUACAUGCAAGUCGAACGGAUCCUUCGGGAUUAGUGGCGGACGGGUGAGUAACACGUGGGAACGUGCCCUUUGGUUCAGGACAACUCAGGGAAACUUGAGCUAAAUACUGGAUAAGCCCUUCGGGGGAAAGAUUUAUCGCCAUUGGAGCGGCCCGCGUCUGAUUAGCUAGUUGGUAGGGUAAAGGCCUACCAAGGCUACGAUCAGUAGCUGGUCUGAGAGGAUGAUCAGCCACACUGGGACUGAGACACGGCCCAGACUCCUACGGGAGGCAGCAGUAGGGAAUCUUGCGCAAUGGGCGAAAGCCUGACGCAGCCAUGCCGCGUGAAUGAUGAAGGUCUUAGGAUUGUAAAAUUCUUUCAGCGGGACGAUAAUGACGGUACCCGCAGAAGAAGCCCCGGCUAACUACGUGCCAGCAGCCGC
rnacentral:rRNA from 1 species